rnacentral:tRNA from 1 species
GGGAAGGUGGCUCAGUGGUAGAGCGCUUGCCUUGCAUGCAUGAGGCCUUGGGUACGAUUCCUCUGCACCA